CGAGCCGAAGCCCUGGGCUUGGUGGAGUAGGAGGUGCCGGGGCAGGUCCUGCGGAUGCCCUUUAGAGGUGCCCCCCGCCGCGGCUGCUGCUCGGGUUCUUUGUCCUGCUGGUCCCCGCUGCUUCCCAGGAGCCGGGUCACUGCUAGCAUUUGUGGAAUUGGCUUUGCUGCAGGAAAAACUGGUUUCCAGCAUUCCUGUUAAGAAGAAACUUCUGUGAUCGUGUAAUUAAAAUGCAGAAGAAAAUCAAACAGCAAUAUUAAAGUAGAUGCCAGAGGAGCUGGUCCUUUUAGCUGGGUCCUUUGGAGGCUGUGUGUGUCCUCUGCCUUGUUCUGACCUUGGCUAUGCUGCUUGUAGCCUGUGGCAGGGAAAAAAAGCAGCUUUUUUGCAAUUUUGAGCUCUCUGGCUCCUGCACCAGCCUGC